UACGUAGGGCGCGAGCGUUGUCCGGAAUUAUUGGGCGUAAAGAGCUCGUAGGCGGCCUGUUGCGUCCGCUGUGAAAUCCCGGGGCUCAACCCCCGGGCUUGCAGUGGAUACGGGCUGGCGUAGAGGCAGGCAGGGGAGAACGGAAUUCCCGGUGUAGCGGUGAAAUGCGCAGAUAUCGGGAGGAACACCGGUGGCGAAGGCGGUUCUCUGGGCCUGUACUGACGCUGAGGAGCGAAAGCGUGGGGAGCGAACAGG
rnacentral:rRNA from 1 species